rnacentral:lncRNA from 1 species
GCACCGCGCAUGAGGUGGGGGUGGGUCGCUGCUCAGGAAGUUACCUCAGAGUGCUCUGCAGUUUCCGGACAGACGAAGCCCGCCCAGAGUGAGGUAAGAAAGGGGGUCUAGGAAUACCGUGGAGUCCAGUCCACCCACAUCACAGGAGAUGAAGUUAGGGCCGUCCUGUCUCCAGUCCCUGCUCCCCUGGCCCGACAGAGGGAUGGUGGAGGAGACCGGUGGGCAGGACAGCGAGGGCUGAGCCCUGUGGACAGCGGAGUGCGCAGAGGAGAGAACUCAGCAGAGCAGUGGCGGGCGAGGGGCUGGCAGGGAGCGAGGCGGGGCUGGUGGAGCCAACUGCGCUGGACACUUCGGUACAUGUGGAAUUGGGCGAGGCUCAGCCAGGAGCCCGGGCCAGAAAGGCAGUGAAAGAACAUAAAUGGGAGGAAGACUUGGUCAUUUCCAGGACUAUGUCGGCCACCUCACUGUUGGCAUCUGGACCUGAGGAAAAUAGCUUAUGUUAUGCCUGCUGGUGGGAAGCCACCCCGACUUCAUCAUUCAUUGAAGGAAGGCUUCUUGAUGGAUGGGGCACAGGAUCUGUAUUUUGACAGCAGGUUCAUUUAUUCUUUCAUGGAAAAAUACUGCAUCUACUCUUAUGUAAAACCCUUAUAUAUCAGGCACUGUUCUAAGCAGAGCAAAUCAGCCAGGAAUCCCUGAUUCUGUUCCACUAGAAGGUUGCUUCUCCAGUGGUCUGACUGAAGAAAGCAGGCAGUAGGCAGGCCUGGGGGACUGACUCCUGAGGCACCUGAUCUGUUGUCACC